rnacentral:rRNA from 1 species
CGGUACUGCAAGUCUUCCGUUAAAUCCACCUGCUCAACAGAUGGGCUGCGGGGGAUACUAUAGGGCUAGGAGGCGGGAGAGGCAAACGGUACUCAGUGGGUAGGGGUAAAAUCCAUUGAUCUACUGAAGACCACCAGUGGCGAAGGCGGUUUGCCAGAACGCGCUCGACGGUGAGGGAUGAAAGCUGGGGGAGCAAACCGGAUUAGAUACCCGGGUAGUCCCAGCUGUAAACGAUGCAGACUCGGUGAUGAGUUGGCUUUAUGCCAACUCAGUGCCGCAGGGAAGCCGUUAAGUUUGCCGCCUGGGGA